CCUACGGGUGGCUGCAGUGAGGAAUAUUGGUCAAUGGGCGAGAGCCUGAACCAGCCAAGUAGCGUGAAGGAUGACUGCCCUACGGGUUGUAAACUUCUUUUAUAUGGGAAUAAAGUGCAGCAUGUAUGCCUUUUUGUAUGUACCAUAUGAAUAAGGAUCGGCUAACUCCGUGCCAGCAGCCGCGGUAAUACGGAGGAUCCGAGCGUUAUCCGGAUUUAUUGGGUUUAAAGGGAGCGUAGAUGGGUGGUUAAGUCAGUUGUGAAAGUUUGCGGCUCAACCGUAAAAUUGCAGUUGAUACUGGGAGUCUUGAGUACAGUAGAGGUAGGCGGAAUUCGUGGUGUAGCGGUGAAAUGCUUAGAUAUCACGAAGAACUCCGAUUGCGAAGGCAGCUUACUAAACUGUCACUGACAUUGAUGCUCGAAAGUGUGGGUAUCAAACAGGAUUAGAUACCCUGGUAGUC
rnacentral:rRNA from 1 species